CCAGAUUUAUUCAAAUUAUAGCUACAAGAUGGUCAUCACUAUCUGCAGGAAACAUGAGUGCCACAAAUAGUAUAACAAUUCCACAGGCAAAACAAGAUAAGGAAAUGUAGCAUAUUUGAGGAUGGACCAGAGCCUUGCCUUUUUAAGAAUAUAAGCUGUUGACUAAGGCAACCAAGAUGUUGUUCAUCAUAUUUACCAUCUCAAAAAAGUUACUGCAAUUUUUGAUUUACUAACAUGUAACCAGAUCCUGCUUCCAUUUAAGUCAGUGGAAAUUGGGAGCUGUCUUCAAGCAGAAUCUGACUCACAUUGGAACCAAUUUCUCAUGGGGAAAAAGAAAAGAAAAGCAACUUACCGGAUUGAUAACUUUUAUUAAAAAAUAGAAAAAGAGGAGCAGAUGACUUGUUCUACACAGAGAAGGAUGAGGGAGAGACUGCUAGAGACAAGAUGCAUAUGGAAGACUUACUAUUCUUCAAAUACCUUCUGCCCUGCUCCUUCUCAGGGUCCUACUGAAAGAGGAAACACAAUGAAAAAGUGUUCAAAAGAUGAAAGUAUGGAAACUGUUCCCUUCCUCUUACUCCUUGAAACCACUGGACUUAAGGUCCGAGCAUCUUAGGAAAAAUUAAGCCAAGGAAAAAACCAAGCAAACCCAAAAGAAUCACUUGACCAUAACUAACUGGAUUGAAGGGCCAAAAACCUCAUUUUGGGGAGAUACCUGCACCCUGCCCCCAAUAUUUGACACCAACAGUCAAGUUCCCUAGCCACCCAAAGGUAGCAAUUAAAGAAACACAGCCAACCCACAUGAGUAUCAGGAAAAGACUUCCAGGGCACAUUACACAGUUCAUCCUAACUAGCUACCACUAUACUAUUCUGAAGCUACCCAAAUCCAGCUACAAUGAAGUUCAACCCACAACGUGUUUUUCCCUCUACCAGAUCACUUCUCCCACCUUACUCAUUCUGAAGGGAAUAAUUCUGAGUCCAAUAUGUACAAAAGACAAUGGUUAUCUCCUGUGGCUAUUUGGCAAUGACUUCUGCCUCUCCUUUGAAAAGGGAGCUAAAGCCACCCCUGUCCUACUGGUCUUCUCCACAAGUCAUAAAGCCCUGCACAGAGGCAUAUAUGGCCAAAGGACUCUUGGCUUCCAAAGGCCUCAAAAAGUUAAUUUCUUUUCUUCGUUUUAUUUAACAUGUACAUGAAAUCUUUGGAAGAUCUGAUAAAAUUACUGAAAUGUCAGCAAAACAUGAAGGAGACUGUAAAUCUCUAUAAACAUCCUUACAACAACUAUAUUUCUUAGGCCCUUUCUACACAUGCAGGUAAAAGAGCCAUGGGAUCUAAUGGCUAAUCAGCAUCAUCACACCUCCUGCCACGCUACAAGCGCAUGGCAGGAGGCAUGAUUGUGGGAUGGUGCGUUAAAUCCCAUUGUGCCUAACUGCUGGUGUAGGGGGAGUCCAAUCCUCUUGACAUGACUCCCAGCCAGAGAAACUAUGCAGAGCUAGAGCUGAGAGUCUUGCAGCUGAGGGGACUCUCAGCCCUGGCUCCACUUGUGACACAGCCAGGAACAAAAGUCCCAUCAGCUGUGAGACUCUGUUCCAGCAGUCAUGGGGCACUAUUGUGAUCUCCUAGCCCAUGGGGUAUGUGGAGAACCCUGUGUCUGGGAGAUCACAAUGGCUGAGAGACUGCAGAAGGUUCAAUCUCCUAGCCACUGCAUAGAGCAAACAAAGAUCUCAAUGGCUAUGAUCUCCCAGCCUUGGGGGCUCACUGUGUUCCCCAGUGCCUGGAAGAUCUCAGCAGCAGAGGUCUCUCAGCUUCAGACUGCCUUUAUGUGCUAAUAAAGCUGGAUAGAAACCAACUAUAAAGUUAUUA
rnacentral:lncRNA from 1 species